AGUGAACGCUGGCGGCAGGCCUAAUACAUGCAAGUCGAACGGCAGCACGGCAGAGCUUGCUCUGUGGGUGGCGAGUGGCGGACGGGUGAGGAAUACAUGGGAAUCUGCCCAGUCGUGGGGGAUAACGUAGGGAAACUUACGCUAAUACCGCAUGCGCCCUUCGGGGGAAAGCCGGGGACCUUCGGGCCUGGCGCGAUUGGAUGAGCCCAUGUCGGAUUAGCUAGUUGGCGGGGUAAUGGCCCACCAAGGCGACGAUCCGUAGCUGGUCUGAGAGGAUGAUCAGCCACACUGGAACUGAGACACGGUCCAGACUCCUACGGGAGGCAGCAGUAGGGAAUAUUGGACAAUGGGCGCAAGCCUGAUCCAGCCAUGCCGCGUGAGUGAAGAAGGCCCUCGGGUUGUAAAGCUCUUUCGGCGGGGAAGAAAUCGCAUCUCCUAAUACGGGGUGUGGAUGACGGUACCCGAAUAAGAAGCACCGGCUAACUACGUG
rnacentral:rRNA from 1 species